ACGGAAGGCAGCAGUGAGGAAUAUUGGUCAAUGGGCGGAAGCCUGAACCAGCCAAGUCGCGUGAAGGAGGACGGUUCUAUGGAUUGUAAACUUCUUUUGUUCAAGGGUAAAGUGAGAGAUGCGUCUCUUAUUGCAAGUAUCGGACGAAUAAGCAUCGGCUAACUCCGUGCCAGCAGCCGCGGUAAUACGGAGGAUGCGAGCGUUAUCCGGAUUUAUUGGGUUUAAAGGGUGCGUAGGCGGGAUGUUAAGUCAGCGGUGAAAGCGUGUUGCUCAACAAUACCGAGCCGUUGAAACUGGCGUUCUUGAGUGUAAACGAGGUAGGCGGAAUGUGAUGUGUAGCGGUGAAAUGCAUAGAUAUGUCACAGAACUCUGAUUGCGAAGGCAGCUUACCAGCAUACGACUGACGCUGAGGCACGAAAGCGUGGGUAUCAAACAGGAUUAGAUACCCUGGUA
rnacentral:rRNA from 1 species